rnacentral:rRNA from 1 species
UGAAUACGAGACGCUAAGGCGUCGAAGUAGUGUAUGUCAUACUUCUAAGAAAAGCUUGCACUGUCAUAGAUAAAAAACGCCUGUACCAUAACCGACACAGGUGGGUAGGUAGAGUAUACUAAGGGGCGCGAGAUAACUCUCUCUAAGGAACUCGGCAAAAUAACUCCGUAACUUCGGGAGAAGGAGUGCCUUAUUCGUAAGGUUGCAAUAACAAGAUCCAAGCAACUGUUUAUCAAAAACACAGGUCUCCGCUAAGUCGUAAGACGAUGUAUGGGGGCUGACGCCUGCCCAGUGCCAGAAGGUUAAAGAAGUUGGUUAGCAAUUGCGAAGCUGAUAACUGAAGCCCUGGUGAACGGCGGCCGUAACAAUAACGGUCCUAAGGUAGCGAAAUUCCUUGUCGGGUAAGUUCCGACCCGCACGAAAGGCGUAAUGAUUUGGAUACUGUCUCGGAGAGGGGCUCGGUGAAAUAGACUUGUCUGUGAAGAUGCGGACUACCCGCACCAGGACAGAAAGACCCUAUGAAGCUUUACUGUAACUUGAAAUUGAAAUUGGACUUUAUUCGCGCAGUAUAGGUGGGAGGCGUUGAUUAUAAUCUUGUGGGAUUAUUGGAGCCAUCAGUGAGAUACCACUCUUGUAAUGUUAGAUUUCUAACUUUGAAUCAUUAUCUGGUCAAAGAACAGUUUCAGGCGGGCAGUUUGACUGGGGCGGUCGCCUCCUAAACGGUAACGGAGGCGUACAAAGGUUUCCUCUGAACGGUUAGAAAUCGUAUCUAGAGUGUAAAGGCAUAAGGAAGCUUGACUGUGAGACCUACAAGUCGAGCAGGGACGAAAGUCGGUCUUAGUGAUCUGACGGUACUGAGUGGAAAGGCCGUCACUCAACGGAUAAAAGUUACUCUAGGAUAACAGGCUGAUCUCCCCCAAGAGUUCACAUCGACGGGGAGGUUUGGCACCUCGAUGUCGGCUCAUCGCAUCCUGGGGCGGUAGUACGUCCCAAGGGUUGGGCUGUUCGCCCAUGAAAGCGGUACGCGAGCUGGGUUCAGAACGUCGUGAGACAGUUCGGUCCAUAUCCGGUGUAGGCGUUAGAAUAUUGAGAGGAGCCUUCUUUAGUACGAGAGGACCGAGAAGGACAUACCUCUGGUGUACCAGUUAUCGUGCCAACGGUAAACGCUGGGUAGCUAUGUAUGGAGUGGAUAACCGCUGAAAGCAUCUAAGUGGGAAGCCCACCUCAAGAU